GCCGAAGGUGGGGCUGAUGACUGGGGUGAAGUCGUAACAAGGUAGCCGUACCGGAAGGUGCGGCUGGAUCACCUCCUAA
rnacentral:rRNA from 1 species